rnacentral:rRNA from 1 species
ACGAACGCUGGCGGCGUGCUUAACACAUGCAGGUCGUACGGUAAGGCCCUUUCGGGGGUACCCGAGUGGCGAACGGGUGAGUAACACGUGAGUAACCUGCCCACAACUUUGGGAUAACGCUAGGAAACUGGUGCUAAUACUGGAUAUGUGCUCCUGCUGCAUGGUGGGGGUUGGAAAGCUCCGGCGGUUGUGGAUGGACUCGCGGCCUAUCAGCUUGUUGGUGGGGUAGUGGCCUACCAAGGCGGCGACGGGUAGCCGGCCUGAGAGGGUGACCGGCCACAUUGGGACUGAGAUACGGCCCAGACUCCUACGGGAGGCAGCAGUGGGGAAUAUUGCACAAUGGGCGCAAGCCUGAUGCAGCAACGCCGCGUGCGGGAUGACGGCCUUCGGGUUGUAAACCGCUUUCAGCAGGGACGAAGCUUUUUGUGACGGUACCUGCAGAAGAAGCACCGGCUAACUACGUG